rnacentral:rRNA from 1 species
UACGGAGGGGGCUAGCGUUGUUCGGAAUUACUGGGCGUAAAGCGCACGUAGGCGGCUUGGUAAGUUAGAGGUGAAAGCCUGGAGCUCAACUCCAGAAUUGCCUUUAAGACUGCCGAGCUAGCAGGUGAGAGAGGUGAGUGGAAUUCCGAGUGUAGAGGUGAAAUUCGUAGAUAUUCGCAAGAACACCAGUGGCGAAGGCGGCUCACUGGCCCGGUACUGACGCUGAGGUGCGAAAGCGUGGGGAGCAAACAGG